UAAAGCUAGGGAUCUUGGCAGCAGCGAUUUCAAUAGGCUCGCCAGUCUGAGGGUUACGACCGGUACGGGCCGCACGAUCUUUAACUGCGAAAGUACCAAAACCCACCAGAACAACCUGCUCACCGUUUUUCAGUGCAUCGGUAACCGU
rnacentral:antisense_RNA from 1 species